ACCAGGCGUGGUGGCACGUGCCUGUAGUCUCAGCUGCUUGGGAAGCUGAGGUGGGAGGAUCGCUUGUGCCCAGGAGUUCUGGGCUGUAGUGCGCUAUGCUAAUCAAGUGUCCGCACUAAGUUCAGUAUCAAUACUGUGAUCUCCCGGGAGCGGGGGACCACCAGGUUUCCUAAGGAGGGGUGAACUGGCCCAGGUCAGAAACGGAGCAGGUCAAAACUCCCGUGCUGAUCAGUAGUGAGAUCGCACCUGUGAAUAGCCACUGCACUCCAGCCUGGGCAACAUAGCGAGACUGUGUCUCUA
ensembl:misc_RNA Metazoa_SRP Metazoan signal recognition particle RNA